AGCUUGCUCAGUUGUGUUUGAUUAGGGUUGGAGCUAAACUCUGCAAAACAGUGGCCCUCCAGACAACCCUCUACAUUGCGAGUAAAUCACUCACAUAUGCGACUAAAUUUUCAUUCUGGCAACUAAAUGAUGCCUAAUAUUAGCCAACGGCUAAUAAAUCCUCAGAUUUUACUCGCCAGUGUGUUAGUUGGAGGCUAAGUGUAAGUUUAGCACAGAUAUAUUUUAACUUGCGAACACUCUCUGACUGAGUGCUUCAGAGUUUCACUCUUCUUUAAGCAAUCUGUUAUAUUUUUCAGUUCAUCUCAAUGGAUGCGCAGUGCACCUAUAUUUGACGUACCGUAAACUCUAGUGUGAAGGCGCAUGACUCGUCGCCGGUUUCUCUCACACAUGCAGAAAGAGAGACACAAUUGACGUACUACAUGUAAACAAUAUUCUAUGUUGUAGUUUCCUAGUGUUGUAGAGUUCCUUUGGAUUUUUUCAGCUUUUAAGAACUGUUGGGUUUUCCGGUAGUGGGCAGGACUAAUGCACAAACUGCAAUCUCAUUGGCUGGCGCUCUAGUAUCAUUGUCCCUGUUUUGAUUUCAGUGAAUCAGAUCAGGCAAAUGCGCACAACCUGAUUAAUAUUCAUGAAUCCAGCAGCUCUUUAAUCCUUAAUGCAUUUCAUAUUGUUCUUAUCUUAGUCCGGCAAGUAAACUAAGAAAUUUACUAGCCAAUGGCGAUUCAAUUGCCAAGGUGUCCAUAGAGGGUUGCCAGAGUAAGAUUUGAGGAACCCUGGUGUACACUGUUCUUAUUUUAAUAACAACCAUGAUAUACCAAUACCAGUCAAAGGUGUUUGGGAAUUUUAGAUAAUUUCCCUAUAUAAGAACAUCCUCAUAACAUCUGAAAAACAAAACGGCUACUGUUACAAAAUAGGGUUGUUUUGUCAACACUAUCAGAUUUUCUGACUGUGGUGACAAUGUAUUUGAUAGAGCUGAAAUUUUAAUGAAGAUAAUGCUAGAUUUGCUAAUAUCUCUAAUAAAAAUUUAACACAAUAUUUUAAUAUCCAACAGUGUCUCAUAAGUGACAGAAAUGGAAAAACACGUCUUGAGAGAAACAGGAGAUUGAACCCAAACAUAGUCAGGGGACAUGAGGCCAUUAACCUCCUGCAGCCAACGCCUUCUAUCCUUAAUGAGG
ensembl:lncRNA